UUAUUGGAGAGUUUGAUCCUGGCUCAGGACGAACGCUGGCGGCGUGCUAAACACAUGCAAGUCGAGCGGUAAGGCCCUUCGGGGUACACGAGCGGCGAACGGGUGAGUAACACGUGGGUAACCUGCCCUGUACUCCGGGAUAAGCCUGGGAAACURGGUCUAAUACCGGUUACGACGUUCCAUCGCAUGGUGUGGGGUGGAAAGUUCCGGCGGUAUGGGAUGGACCCGGGCCUAUCAGCUUGUUGGUGGGGUGAUGGCCUACCAAGGCGACGACGGGGUAGCCGGCCUGAGAGGGUGACCGGCCACACUGGGACUGAGACACGGCCCAGACUCCUACGGGAGGCAGCAGUGGGGAAUUAUUGCACAAUGGGCGAAAGCCUAAUGCAGCGACGCCGCGUGAGGGAUGACGGCCUUCGGGUUGUAAACCUCUUUCAGCAGGGACGAAGCGYGAGUGACGGUACCUGCAGAAAGAAGCACCGGCUAACUACGUGCCAGCAGCCGCGGUAAUACGUAGGGUGCSAGCGUUGUCCGGAAUUAUUGGGCGUUAAGAGCUCGUAGGCGGUUUGUUGCGUCGGCCGUGAAAACUUCACGCUUAACGUGGAGCCUGCGGUCGAUACGGGCAGACUUGAGUUCGGCAGGGGAGACUGGAAUUCCUGGUUGUAGCGGUGAAAUCGCCAGAUAUCAGGAGGAACACCGGUGGCGAAGGCGGGUCUCUGGGCCGAUACUGACGCUGAGGAGCGAAAGCGUGGGGAGCGAACAGGAUUAGAUACCCUGGUAGUCCACGCCGUAAAACGGUGGGUGCUAGGUGUGGGGGGCUUCCACGUCCUCCGUGCCGCAGCUAACGCAUUAAGCACCCCGCCUGGGGAGUACGGCCGCAAGGCUAAAACUCAAAGGAAUUGACGGGGGCCCGCACAAGCGGCGGAGCAUGUGGAUAAUUCGAUGCAACGCGAAGAACCUUACCUGGGCUUGACAUGCACCGGAAACCUCCAGAGAUGGGGGCCUCCUUGGACUGGUGUACAGGUGGUGCAUGGGCUGUCGUCAGCUCGUGUCGUGAGAUGUUGGGUUAAGUCCCGCAAACGAGCGCAACCCUCGUUCCAUGUUGCCAGCGCGUAAUGGCGGGGACUCAUGGGAGACUGCCGGGGUCAACUCGGAGGAAGGUGGGGAUGACGUCAAGUCAUCAUGCCGCCUUAUGUCCAGGGCUUCACACAUGCUACAAUGGCCGGUACAGAGGGCUGCUAAGCCGUGAGGUGGAGCGAAUCCCAGAAAGCCGGUCUCAGUUCGGAUCGGGGUCUGCAACUCGACCCCGUGAAGUCGGAGUCGCUAGUAAUCGCAGAUCAGCAACGCUGCGGUGAAUACGUUCCCGGGCCUUGUACACACCGCCCGUCAAGUCACGAAAGUCGGUAACACCCGAAGCCCGUGGCCCAACCCGUAAGGGCGGGAGCGGUCGAAGGUGGGACUGGCGA
rnacentral:rRNA from 1 species